rnacentral:pre_miRNA from 1 species
AUUCUACUCCCUCCAUUCCACAAUACAUGCCUUCUAUUUGUCAAAAUAUAGAUGUAUCUAGACAUGUUUUAGUAUAUAGGUACAUCUAUUUUUGGACAAAUGGAAGUCAUGUAUUUUGGAAUGGAGGGAGUACACA